GAUGAACGCUGGCGGCGUGCUUAACACAUGCAAGUCGAGCGAGUGAGUUCUUCGGAACGAUCUAGCGGCGGACGGGCGAGUAACACGUGGGCAACCUGCCACAUGGAGGGGAAUAGCCUCCCGAAAGGGAGAUUAAUACCGCAUAAAAUUAUCGAGUGGCAGAACAUGAUAAUCAAAGGAGUAAUCCGCUAUGAGAUGGGCCCGAGGCGCAUUAGCUAGUUGGUGAGGUAACGGCUCACCAAGGCGACGAGUGGUUACCAACCUGAGAGGGUGAUCGGCCACAUUGGGACUGAGACACGGCCAAGACUCCUACCGGAGGCAGCAGUGGGGAAUAUUGCACAAUGGGGGAAACCCUGACGCAGCAACGCCGCGUGAGUGAUGAAGGUCUUCGGAUUGUAAAGCUCUGUCUUUGGGGACGAUAAUGACGGUACCCAAGGAGGAAGCCACGGCUAACUACGUGCCAGCAGCCGCCGCGG
rnacentral:rRNA from 1 species